CUCGACUCUUCAGGACCCAGCUCUAGAAGCUUGUCUAGGCUGCCGCCACCCUGGCGUCUGGAGACGCUAACCCCACCAGAACCCCUUCCCCAGAGGGGCGUGUGUGAGGCCAGGAGGUGGGACAGGGGCGAGGCGAGGCUCCCACUUCCUUAACGCUGGGGCUUGGAGAUGAACGGGGAGGUGGAAAACCAGCCACCCAGCCCCCACCCCGGAAAACCUAUUCGUGAAACUGACUUGCUGCGUGACCCCGAUAUCAAUGCCGCGCAGAGCAGGGCUGCUGGCUCUCCGCCGCACCCGACACUCCACGUGCGUCCGGGGGCCCGGCUGGCAGGGAGCGCUGGAGGUCCCCGAGAGUCUGGAACAGCUUACCACCUUCCCCGAGAUAAAGUUAGGGGGGCCCCUCCCUCUAGGAGCAGUUGGCCUUAGCGCUUUGGCUGUAGCCUAACCGGACUGGAGUAAAAUAAAUAGAUUAAAACUAGGUUUCGGGGUGAGGAUCCGAAUGUCUGGGACUAAAACGACACCAAGUUGGGAGGUGGUUAGGAAAAAAACUUACUGAUUUGUGUUUGGGGGAGUGGCGGCUCUGGUUUCUCUUGCUUCCAAUCCCACCAAGGGGAGCGGAGGAAUGUGCCGCUCACGUCUUCUGAGGACACAUCCAUAUUUAUAAUUUAUUUUUAGGAGAAGUUGUGAAACAGGGAGGGGUUAAAAUGGAGAGAAAAGGUGUGCUUGGGAUGGUGUCCUCUUGGGAACCCGAAGGCUAAUUGAGCUAUUAAAGAUGGAAAUAAUUUCUCCCAAUCUGGACUGAGCAGCAAAUUUGACUUUAAUGAGCGACAAUUAAGGGCAUAAAUGGAACUUUAUUUAGCUGGAGGUGGGAUGGGGUGAGGUAUUCGAGGCCCCUCAAACACUGGAUUUAUGCUUGAUAAAGAACCUUGCGGCAGCCCUGGUAUUUACUGGAAUGUUUUCAGGCCUGAUUGUGUGGGACCGAUGGCGGGGGUAGAUACAGUAUCCCUCCCUCCGCAGCGACCCCCUGGCUUUGGGGGAGAUGAACCUCCUUCCAGCAGAAAGAGGCAGGCAUUUUUAGUAACUCUGCCUUCUUUCGAACCCUUUCUCUAAGGCUAGCAAGGCUGCUGGGACCUGCAAACCCCAAAGGGGCUCACUUCAGAAAAGAGGCUCCCAAGGCUGUGGGCCCAGGACCGGGGUUUUGAGGGCGAGAUGAGUUUGUGUUUUAUCCAACUGGCCCACAAAGUCCCGCUUUUGGGGUCAUCCUAACUGCAAAGGAUUCAGGCCCUGGCAGCCGCUGGAGGGUGAGGGCCGACACCCCCAGGCUAUCGGUCUGAAACUAAAACCCCCCUGCAGAGAAAGAAGGCUGGCCCAUUUGGUCAAAGGGAAAGGCUGUUUUAGGGUGGGAGGGUAUUCUUAUCCAGCUCUGUUCUCAGUACAAACCUGCAGUGGCCCCCUCCAUGAGAGGCAAAAGGUAGCAGAAAGGGGACAUACAGGCUCUACACACAUCCCAAGAGGCUUCAUGAGGCCUUUGGGUGGACAAGACCAGUAGGAAAUGGUCGACUCUGGACUGUGUUUCUUAGCUUGAAACCCCUAAAUACCACUGAGAUAAACCAUAAUGCUAAGAGACUUCGAUUUACCUGUCAAAGGAGCAAGCAGUCAGCUGUUUGCUUCCACCUGGAUCCACGAAUUUGUAAUUCUCUGCUACUCCAUGUUGAGCAAAGCAUUUGUAAGAAAAUCUGGACAAUGAGUUGAGGAGGCAUCUAUAAGGCAGAGCAAAUGUCCCUCUCAGGAUGUUCACCUUAGUGUUCACACACACCUCUGCCCUCUGUUGGGUAAGCACAGCACACCAUAUAUGCAUCUACACACCCUGAGCUAUUUGCAAACCUGAAUUUAAAUUAAGCAUUCACAGCGGGGAAUAGAAUGCCUCAAUAGCUUUUGAACUGAGCCCCUGAUAGCAGAUUGAGUGAUUUGCUCCUUGUGGCACAGGGACACACAGAUGACAUUUGUGCUGCCUUGGCAGACAAGAAACGUUCUUUCCUUCCAGCGUUCCUUGUUUUUCUUACGAGGUUCGACAAGUCCACACCAUUUCCAGGAGUCCGUGGUGGUGCUGUGGCUCACCCGUGGGUGAUGGCCACAUGUGAGCUGUGGUGGUGCUUUGCUCACUUGCUACCUUGAAGUGACAGCCAGAUCCUAUCGACUCUGCUAAAUAAUCUCAGCAAAUUAGCCUUUAACGAUACUUGUACAAAUAGAGUAUUUUCUGUGAAUGAAUGCGGCUGGAGCACCAGAUGAUGAGCUCAGAUCAGGGGCUGUCAUGGAGGUGAUGAAGUGGAAGGUGAAAAUUAUGGAAUUGUUAAAAAUGUAGAAAGUCAUGCAGAAUUUAGUGUUAAAUGUGAACCAAUUCCUGCUUUUAAGGUGAGCAUACCCAAAGCAUAGGGCAGUGUUUACAUUCAGCUCUGUGGGUCCACAUGUGUGAUUAUGAACAUAUUUAGCAAACAGCUCCCUGUCUCCAACCAGAGUUUGCAAACAGGAAAAGUAGCAUGGCAAGAAGAUUAUAAAUCAGUACUUUGCAGUGAGAGGUCACAGUCACAAAAUCAGCAAAGCAUGUUCUAGCUGCCACCCAACUUCCCUCCUCUGCCAAUAAGAAAAAAAAAAAUCCAACAAGGAACUGUUGAAUACUCUGAAUACAUUUAGGUUUUUCUCCCUUGGCCUGUCCUCGUAAAAUUUCAUUAAGCAGCUGCUGCUUCCCGCCACCCAUCUCCUUGUGGAUGGGAGUGUGGAUUUGGGGGGUGGGGAUGGGGUGGAGGCAACUUUGAAUUUGGUUCCUUUGCAAUAUAUAUGUUGUACAGGGGAAAUUUUCAACAGAAAAUAUGUCAAUAAUUAUGACUAGAGGUGAGAUAGAAAGGAUGUGCCCUUCAAAACUAAAUGUGCAUGCAUGACCCAAGCAGGGGAAACCCUGCUUCCUGCCCUCUUGUCUGACUGAAAGAAGGGCUGGGGCUGUAAUUCUGCCUAUUUUGCAUAAGGCCCUGGGUUCAACCCAUGCACUGUAAAUAAACAAGAAGAUUUGGGUGAGGUAAACUUAGAGCUCUCUGAGCUAGUAAAUGGCUAUUUUAGAUAUGAAAAUAAAAAUUAGUCAGGUACACAAGUCCCCACUUCAGAACCACUUACCAGAAAACACACACAGCGGAGACUUCAUCAGAGAAGACUUCAUCGGACUUACAUUAGGUGCAUUCUAACCUGAAGCCCUUCUUGCUUCUCAGAUUUGGAACAAGAUGAAAAUAAACCCCUUCAACCCACACAAGCAUGUUAUAAACAGCUGUAGAUUUUUCAGGGAAAGAGAUGUUGAAGAAAGGGGUUGGGGGAAUGGGAGCAAUAGACUCUGGGGUCCCUCUAUUCACUCCAUGCCAGGCCAAACCCCCGGGCACCUCAUGGUUUCUUUCCAUAGCUGCCAGUGUUCUGCUGCGGCCUUCACAGUCCGUAGCUGUGGGGGCAUGGGCAGAUAUUGACGUUUCCAGUCUGUCAUUGUUUUUCUCACAAAGGACACUGGAGUUGUACAGACCCCCAGAGUCCACUUUCCCUCAGUGUUUCAUGCACUGUAGUAGGAAGGGGACACCCUGGAAAACACAAAGGUAGUGAUGUCCAGGGAGAGCCCCUGUAAGGUGGCCUAGCAGACACAGGCAAGCUCCUUCUGAGGACCCACCCUAGGUGGGGAGAGAAAGGCACGCAGGCACAGGGUUGAGCUGUGCUACUGAGUCUCAAUGUAGUGUCCAAGUUUUGAGACCUCAGCAAACAGGACUCUUCUGCUAGACUCAGCCAUGAGAGCUGUGCCUGGGGCCUGCUGGCAUUAGUACCCAAGACAGCCUGGACUGCUGCCAGCUGAGGCCCAGACAUGGCUUUAUUGCUAUGACUAGAGCCCAAAUAAGCUCCAGAUAGUGGCCUAGAGGUCUUUCGCCUGGGGUCUGGGUAGCAGCAGUUUAGUGAGAAUGUGGGUAUUUGGGUCCCUAGAGUGGUCCUCUCAGAGACCCCGCUAGCUUCAAUAGCUUGGUGACCUUGUGGGCUCUGGGGAAGGAUAGGUUCCUUCUGGACAAACAAAAGGAAACACACUUAGCUUCUAGAACACACACAAGGUUCUAGAAAAUUCCACUACAGAGUUGUGCUUUUGUAGCCAAGUAAAGCCUUCGCUGCUGUCCAGGGGUGGUGAGCAAGGUUGGGGUGCCCUAUGACCCAUCUCAGCCAUUGGUUAAUUCUUUGCCAAUCUCUCCCCCAGCCAGGCAUCCUGGUGUACUCUUGGGAGUUGAGCCUUCUCUGCCUAGACCUGAAGAGGCAGAGCUGUGGGCCUAAAAGUGGGGAGAAGGUUGCAGGAUAUUUGAUGACCUAGAGGGAGGGCCAGAUGGGCAAAGAAAUGGGGGACACCAGAGCCACCUUGAUACAGGCUUGAGUGUGAGGCUUGGGUGGGUAUGCUGGCCUAAGUUCUGCAGGGAAGGGUGUCUGCAGCCUGCUCAGCCUUGGCCGAUCCACCUGCUCGGGGAAGCUGGGCUCAGUGUGAGUCAGCCAAACCCCUGGGAUUCUCAUUUGGUCCUACUAAUUGAACUCCAGGCCUCAGGAUGGCUCCUGGGCUCCUCAGUGUACCUCAGCCUGGCAUUCAAAAGACCCAACCAGGGGCUCACGGGCCAGGCCAUGUUUAGCAUCACGUUCACCCGAAGAAUAUUUUAGGUGCUGCCUGGAAGGAGAGCUCUAGGCUCUGUUGUCGGCUGUCACAUGGUAAAAGUGGAGUGGCAGCUUCCCAGGCCUGACCCAGAUGCCUGGAGGCUGCACCAGCGCUUUGGGGCCACCCAGCCGGUACUGGGAAUGUGUUGGGAAGGCUUUGGUGGCGUAAGCUCACUUCCAUCAGCCCAGCCUCUUCUCUGAGAUGGCCCAGUGUGAUAGUCAGACUGCUGAGAGAGCAAUCUUUGGGGACAGGUUAACCCUAUGAAGCCCUUGGGUGCUCGGUGGCCUGGUGGGACACCAGUAGAAAUCUCCAAGGUCAAAUGUCUUGGGGAUGACAUUGCUAUGGAUUUCUUCUUUCCCAGAUCUUAGUGGCCAGACCUCAAGGGGGUGUGUGGACAUUCACAACCCCCCUUGUGACUUUGUCCCAUUAGCUAUAAAUGCCCAGUGGCCCUUCCCUAAGACCUCACCCUCCAAGGGUCAGCCAUGGAACCAGCCACUCACCUAGGUAUUUCCAUCCCAGCCUCCAAGGCAGCUGACUUUCUCCCAUAAUGCAGGAAGGGAGGCCCUGAUGGAUCUCUUCUCUCUGCUCAUCAACAAGGGACAGGAAUGAAUAUUUGGUGUUUGGGGAAAACGGGGCAGGCCCCUGUGAGUUCCUGCUUUAGGGCAUCUCAGUGUGAUCAUUUCUGGAGCCUGCUGGGGGCAGGGGGCUGUCUCAGAUGCCUGGUUCCCUGCACUUGGACUGAGUGAGGCAUGUCUGUAGGAAACUCUGCCUAGAAACACGUGUAGCGAGUUGUGGCAAAGAUACCGAGGAUCCUGGGAGACUGUGCCUAGCACCACACACCCUCGGAAGGUUCACUUGUCUGAAGUUUGCUUUAACUUUCUGCAUUUUUUUCCUUUUCAGUUUUGGCUCUUGGUGCCUCCGAGAGCCUCUACCUCCUGCCAGUUGGUUGGUUACCGCAGGGAAAAUGAGGGACUUUUGGGGGCAGAUGUGUUUCCAUUCCGCUAUCAUAAUGCCCCUAAAAAUCCUUAUUGCUCUUGCAGUAUUCCUCGGGGGUCCCUGGGCCAGCAACUCACAGAAGAGAAAGUGUUCCCUGAGCCCCCUGCCCCAGCUCCUCAGGUUCUGGGGUAGACCUCCCCUCGCCGUGCUCAAAACCCGUGGAAAAUAAAAAGAUGCCGUGUGAGGCCACUUGCUAAACGUGCUUUUGCCCUCCAGGGGUAAAAUGAUGGUGCUCAGGCCUGGGAAAAGGCUGGCUAUGGCUGCCAUCCACCUCAGCUCCUGGGGAUGUAGGGAGGCGGCAAAAGUGAGGAGAAGCAGAGUUACCAGUUUGGCAGGCCAGGGCCCUCCAGGGCUUCUAGGAUCUUCACUGGGGGCGGGGCGGGGCUGGGAAGUCUUCGCCUGCCAGUUCCCAGAAACUGGACUCUUUCCCCACGCUGCCUCAGUUUCUCAUCUUGCCAGCCAAGGGCCUAUACUCCCUGAACUAGCCUCAGAGUUUCUUGGACAUAGCUUGAAGGAAUGGGAGGUCAGUGCCUACAGUAUUAAUUAGUAUUGACACUCAUGUUUACUAAUACAUGCAAAUGACUCAGACAGGAGAGGUUAGAAGCCACAGCUCAGCUGCAAGCAUGGGUUUUUGGAAGCAGCCUGUCUGCUUAGCCAUAUCCUCCCUAAGCACUGGGAUUCUCGGUACCUCACACCUGAAACCCAUGGCAUAGAGCAGAAGUUUCUCCAAGUCUCUUAACAUAUCCACUAGGUGAUUUUAAGUGAAUUGUGUCUAAAGUUAUGAAUUAUGCUAAUAGGCAUUUCUUUGCACAGUAAAUGUUUAGUUAUGGCAGCUGGUUGGUUUCCACUUAGGGUGGGGAUAUUUCACAUGAAUUUAUAUUUUUAAAAAAAUGAGAGGAUUUUUCUCACCCCCCUCCUUUUUUUAGACAGGGUCUCACUAUGUAGCUUAAGCUGGCCUGGACCUUGAUAUAUAGACCAGACUAGGCUCAAACUCACAGUGAUCUGCUGCCUACUUCUGCCUCCCUGGCUGGAGUGGGUUUCUUGACAGAAAGCUGUGAAGCAAGCCCGAGGUGAAUCCAGCUCCAUGGUCUGUACAGUGUCCUAGGUCAACUUGUAAAACGCCUGUUUCCUAGGGGUGGUGAGGGUGCACAGAGAGGUAAUUCAAACUCACCACGACUCCAGCUGUGACAAAACUGGUGUCCUGUGACCCCGUGAGGUAGAGCCACCUUCCAGCUCCCUGUCCCCAGGGGCCACUCCAUGCAGACUCAUCCGUGGCUCUGGUUUGUCUCACUCCCGGGUGACGUAACUCCUUCCUUGUUUGGCUCCUCUGUGAACUUGUUUUCUCUGGGAAAUGGGAAGACUCAAACCUCCUGGACAUGCCACCAGGUGGUCAAGGCACCACCACACAGAGCUUUCAUGGACAGGGCACCAGGAUAGGCAGGGGCACCAUGCUGCUCUUGGCCUUGAAGGGUGCCAGUUCAAAGGGACAGAGUAUGCUGAGCUGGGCUCAAGUGCCAGCUCCCAGCCAAUCCCCCCGGGGUGGUGAGGAGGGAAACAGGCCUCAGCAAGGGGCCAGCUUUGGUUGCACUUUAUGCUGUGUCAUGGGGUGGGAGUGCCAGAGAGGGCUGGCCGGCCAGCUGGGGCAGGUACAGAGGCCAGCAGACAGCUCCAGCCCAGCUGCCAGAGCACACUCUCCCCAUCCCCAGCCUGCCAGGAUAGGGCAGGGCCCUAGGGGCACCCUUUACACACCUUUCCACCCACACAUUGGGGAGAACUUUUAGGACUUUUUUAUUUUUUUUUGAGACAGGGUUUCACACUGUAGCCUAGAUUGGCCUUGAACUUGCAGAAACCCCAGUGCUCUGGCCUCUGUAGGCGUGACCUGCAGCACCAUGGCUUGCCACUAAAACAAGUUCAUGUGUCUCUCCGUCUCUGUCUCUGUUUCUCUGUGUGUGCACCUGUCUCUCUCUGUCUCUGUGUGUGCACCUGUCUCUCUGUCUCUCUGUCUCUGUGUGUGUACCUGUCUCUCUGUCUCUGUCUGUGUGUGCACCUGUCUCUCUCUGUCUCUGUCUCUCUGUGUAUGCACCUGUCUCUGUCUCUCUGUCUCUGUCUCUCUGUGUCUCUCUGUCUCUGUCUCUCUGUGUGCACUUGUCUCUCUCUGUGUGUGCACCUGUCUCUCUCUGUCUCUCUGUCUCUGUCUCUCUCUGUCUCCCCCCGCCCCCAACUUGGAACUCUUUACACUUUUUUUAAGGUUGUGUCAUUGAACCUGGAGAUCCCUGACCGAGUGAGGCUGUCUGCAUACAAGCUCCAGGGAGUUUCCGUUCCUCCCCUCACCGCAGGACAGGGUUGUAGAGACGUGCCCUACACCAGGCUGCUUUAUGGGUUCUGGAGAUCCAACUGUUCUGUGUUUGAAUUUGGGCUCUUCUAAGGACUGGCUUUACAACCUCUAGCAAGUGACAAUGCUUUAUCCCUCAGUUUCCCUGGCUGUGUUAGAAAGACACACGGGGAGCAGUGGGAAUGAGGCAAACAGAUGUCCGUACAGACCGAGAACAGCACUGGACACAGUGUGUGCCGUGUGAGCCUUGGCUAAUACGUCAUAAUAAUAUAUACAACUUAUCGUUAGAAGUCAGCUGUAGUCCCUCGACAGGCUGGUGGAUGAUAUCGGGACAUUACAGAGUCUCUCCUCAUGACGAAUAUUACACAAGAGCCUCUCUACCCCUUAGGUGGGCCUCAUCAGCUGGAGGAUGAGAUGGGGACUCAGACCUCUGCAGAGAUGUGCUGGUAGCCACUCACCUGACAGGCAAGCCAUUGGAGCCUAGAUUUGGACUGGUCCCCAAAGGCCGGGGGUCCACACUUGGGCUGACACUUCCGAUGCCAAGUUUCUAAGGGAAACAAAAUUCUACCGCAAAGACAGUAAAGCAGCAGAGAGCCACUGAGGACAGAAGCUCCACAGAGAGAGGGACCAUCCCACCGGCACCACACUGCCCAGCGCUGCUAUGUUUUGGCUUCAGGUAAAGUUGCCAGGAGUCUCAGUGGGAUAUAGCAAAGCCAAGGUUGGGAAAGGCUUGGUUCUGCUCAAGAGUCCCUCUCUGCUUGAUAACCUCCCUGCUGCCAGUCAGGUAUGCUCCAGAGAGGGGCUGAAGGAAACAGACGCCGCUUGCGUUUCUGCCUUUCACAGUCAUGUAACAAUCAAACAGCCUGAAACCGUUCCAAACAGGCGAGUAAAGCAACAUGUUAUUUGGAGUGAUUGCUUAAUUUAUUGAGCCACCACUGGACCUGUAAUGAAGUAAAGUCCUCAUAGCCCAAAGUUUUCUCUGCCUCCGUCCUCUGUUAUGAAGGAUAUUUUCCGUGAGUUUCUCUGGAAUUUUUGCCUCUUUUUUUUUUUUUUUUUUAAGUGUGUCAAGCUGAUGUUGAUAAUAGAUGUAAGCAUUUGAUGGGGGCUUGUGUGCCCCUGGUCUUGAUAUACAUGAUCUAAUCCACCCAUUUUCCUACUGAAGUAACUUAUUAAUCCCUAUUUUACAGAUGGACAAGCAUAAUGAGUGAGGGUUUGCUGGAGGGGGGCUGUCCAAAACGGUAGCUGCCAGCCACUUGUGAUGAUUUGUGUUUAAAUUAGGUACAUUUAAAUACAUUUAGCCAAGUGUGGGGUUACAUGCUUGUAUCCAAACACUCAGGAAACUGAGGCAAGAGGAUUGAGGGGUUGAAGAUGGCUUGGGCUACAUAGUGAGUUCCAGGCCAGCCUGGGCUACAGAGUGAUACCCUGCCUUUAAAAUAAAAUUUUAUAAUGGAUUCCCUAGAGUGUCCUAGAGUCAAUUCAAAUGCUCAGUGCCCUGAGUAGGCUCACAAAUCUCGAUCACUGUGAUGGGUGGAGAAAGUUCUGGAGCUGUCUGCAGGCCCAGAGACUUCACAGCUGUAAUGAGCCAGCCAGCACCGAGACCAAGCACAUGGCUCAGAUGGCAGAGCUUCCCUGACCUUGCCCUUCCUUCUCUGCUGAGACAUCAUAGCACUGACCACAGGGUUUCAUGUAGAUCAGGCUGACCUUAAACUCAUUCUGUAGCCAGGAAUGACUUCAAACUUCUGUGUGCAUGUCCACACGAGUUCCCAUGUGUGUUGGUUCAUAUGUAUGUGUGUGCACAUGCUGAGGCCUGAGGUUGAUGUCUGCUGUCUACCUUAUAUACAGAGAGGGGUCUCUCUCUGCUGGCUUGCUGUGGGGAUCUCCUGACUAUGUCUCCCAAGUACUGGGAUUACAGGUGACCUGCCGGGCAUUUCCAUGGGUUCUAGGAAUCAAAACUUAGGCCUUUGUGCUUUGCAGCAAACACUUUAUGCACCAAGCCAUUUCACCCGUCCCAACCUUGAACUUUUGAGCCUCCACCUCCUAAGCAGGAUCCUAGGAAUGCCUCACCACACUUGUGUUACGCAGCAUUGGGGCAGAUCCAGCCCUCGUGCAUGAUAGGCUCUCCUGACUGCACCACACCCCAGCCCCACACUGACACUGCUUAUGGAAGUGUUCCCCUCAGCAAACACAAGCUAAGUGUGCACUAUUUUGUGAUUUCUAAUGAAACAGUGGGUUGAGACAAUGUCCAGCAGCUGCUAGGACACUAGAGAAGGGAAGCCAGAUGUCAUUUUUGAAUGGAAUGUGAAACCACCCACUACAUAGUCCUACUAAAAUAAAUAAAACACAAAUCUAAAGGAGCUUCCGAAUCUGAGUACCAGUAUAUGAGAAAUAUGGGAGUUGAACAUGAGGUCAAAAAUAAGCAAAAUCCAAACUCCAGUUAACCAUAAGAUGGUCCAAGUUCUUCAACAACCAAAUGGGGAGUGAAUUGUAUGUCGAUUAGGGGAGAAGUAACCAGCAUGACCUGUUGUGACGUUUGAGCCUUCUCUAGAUUCUGAUUUCAUGCAACUGUGAAGAAAGCACUCAUGAGGCCCCAGGAACAUUGAAGGAGGACCAGGUUUUCACUAGUGUUAAAGCAUUACUGUUCAUUUUAAUGGGUGAUGGUGGCAAAGCAGUUUUUCCUGUUGGAGUCUGAUAUAUACUGGUGUUUGUAGUUUGCUUCGAGAUAGGCUGGAUGGUAUAUAUGCAUGGAACAAGACUAUUGAGUUCAUCCUCUCAUCCCACUCCUACGUGUGUGCUGGAAGCUCUUAACAGCAGUAGUGAGAGAUAUGGCCCAGUUGGUGAGGAACUUGCUUGUUGCAUUAACAUUAGGAUCUGAGUUUGGAUCCCCAGCACUUGUGGAAAAAGCCAGGCACUGUAACAUGUGCCUGUGACAUCAGUGCAUGGGCUGAGAGGCAGGAGGAUCCCUGGGACUCACUGGGCAGCCAGUCUAGCUGAAUCAGCAAAUUCAGGUUCACUGGGAGUCCCUGCCUCAAAAAUAAGGUGAGACAUGGAACAUAUACCUCUAGUCUCCACAAGCAUUCACAUCUACAUAUACCACACACAAAAAUGGGAAAAUCAUUUUUUUUUUCUGACUUCUCAAGGAUAUCAGAUUGGUUCCUGUAUUAGUUAGGGUUCCUUAGGGGAACAGAACUUUGUGUGUGUGUGUGUAUGUGUGUGUGUGUGUAUGUGUGUGUGUGUGUGUGUGUGUGUGUGUGUGUGUUCCAUAAGUUAUCAUUUUAACUAUAUAUAAUAAUUAUAUAUACAUAUAUACAUACACCCAUAUAUAUAAAGGAAACUUACUAGAAUGAUUUACAGGCUGUGGUCCAGCUAGUCCAACAAUGUCUGUGUACCAAAAAGGCCCAGCAGUUGUUCAGUCCAUGAGGCUGGUGUCUCCUCUGGUCUUCAGUAGACUCUGAAAUCCACAAGUAGGCUAAUGCUGCUGAAGGAAUGGACUUGCCAGUGAGAGGAAGCAGGCAAAGAGCAAGCCAGCGUCCCUCUUCCAUGUCCUUUAUAUAGGCUGCCAGUAGAAGGCGUGGGCCAGACUAAAGGUGGAACAUCUCACCUCAAAAGAUUUGAAUUAAAGGUUCAUCUUCUCACCUCAGAUAUACAGAUUAGAAGUGGGUCUUCCUAUUUCAAAUGAUUUUAUUAAGAAAAAAUUUCUUACAGGUGUUUCCAGAUACUUGGGUUUUAGUUAAUUCCAGUUGUAGUCCAGUUGACAACCAAGAACAGCCAUCACAGCUCCCCACUGCACUACUGUGUCUCCAGGUGAGCCUGGGGAACAGGCUUAGGAUACAUCUUCAAGCAUCCUGACUCAUCUCCAUGGCAACUAGUAAGGACCAGCAUUCAGAAGCCUACACUAGCGUCAUGCCAGGCUGCCAAUAUCAAUGUCAGGACAUGAUGUUGUUCCCUUUGGAGCCUCCCCCAGAUGGAUUUUCACAGCACCACCCUACUUGCCACACCCUUCUCUCUGGACCUUCCUGCAUGGUCACCAAGAAAGGAGUGGCCAAGUGGGGUGGGGGCAGUCCCUGAAUCAUGUGUGUUCAGUUCUGACCCUGCCCUUAGUGCCAGGGCCUUUGCACCUUUCUGGACCUCUUCUGUAAAGUGAAUAGAAUAUAAAGGGGCCAGAUCAGGGAUGGGGAGAUGGCUCAGCAAGCUCAAACACUUGCUGCACAAGCACGAAGACCUGGGUUUAAAUCCCCAGAGCUCAUGUAAAACUGAAUACAGUAGAGAACACAUCUGUAAUCCCAACGCUCCUCCAGGGUAAAUGGGAGGCAGGGGGCUAGCUAGCCCGGUGUCCUCAGAAGAAAACAAAGAGCCCCUGUUUCAAACAAGGUGAAAGGCAAGGACUGACACCCAGGGUUAUCUUAUCUCCACUUAUACAACAUGGCAUUUGUGCACCUGUACACACACACACACACACACACACACACACACACACACACAUACACACACACAUAACCCCAGCAAACUCAGUAGAUCUCUAUCAAGUGAACAAUGUCUAUGAGGACCUCAUCUCCACCUGGUGGAGCCAGAUUCAGGGGUGAAGGAUAAUCUUGAUGAAUUUCCAAACACCCUUGAAAGAUGUGAGGCCAGAUUGUCCUCUCACACCCAAUUUAAACAAACAGCCUGGUUCCUUUGGGGCAAGCGUAACUCCUGACCCUGCUUCUCAUGGUCACUGCUCCCCUGCUGUGCCCGGGCAUAGGACACCUUCCCUGCUGCUCUCACCUGCUCAGGGCCACCCUGGAGCCCAUGGUCCCCCUCUAUGCCUGGCCACCUGCGUACUGAUAAAGCAGGAAGUUAGUGCUACCAAGAGGCCAAAGAUCUUCCUAACUCGAUUUUUAAAAUGAAAAACGUAGCCCAUAGAGUUCAAGUCCCCAUCUGACGCACAGAGCAGGUCAGCAGCAGGGAGAAAUUGUUCCCUAUAACAAAGAAAGCUGACUUUUUAUUUUUCUUUUAAGACAUGGUCUCAUGUACCCCAGGCUAGCCUCAGACUUGCUGUGUAGCUGAGGAUAACCUUGAAUUUUCGAUCCUCCUGAUUCCAUUUUUAGAGUGCCAGGCCAGGGUUACAGAUAUGUGCCACCGCUCCUAGUUUAUGCGAUGCUGGAGAUAGAAUCCAGGCUUCAUACAUGAAAAGCAAACGUACACUAGCUGCUACACCUCCAGUCAUGAAACAGACUAGUUCCAUGUUCUAGUUUUUGUUGGUUUUGUUUUAGUUGUGCUCUUCUGUUGUUGGGGUUUUUUUGGGGGGAGGGUGUUUUGGUUUGGGUGUGUGUGUGUGUGUGUGUGUGUGUGUGUGUGUGUGUGUUGCUAGGAAUUCAUGUAACCUAACCUGGCCUUGACAAUGCUCUGUAGCCAAGCCUGGCCUUGAACUCCAGAUCCUACUUCAACCUCCUAAGUGCUGGGAUUAUAUGCAUGAGUCCCACACCUGGCUAGAAGUUAGCUUCAUUGCAUCCUGUCCUGGAGCAAGAUGAUGGGCAUGGCUUGCUCACCUUGGACUGAAGGGUUUGGGGUCCUGAGAAAUUCAGGUGGUAAAUCAGAAAAGCCUAGCUGUCUCCCACUCCAUCCACAUUCAAUCCCACAGACAUGGCUAAAGGAGUGUGUUCUAAGAAGCAAACUCUGGGGAUGAAGCUAAUUGAGAUCAAUUUACAAGAUCCCUUCGAAUUUGGGGGCUUCAUGUGUGUGACACCCAUGGACCAUCCAUGUGUAACCUCCGUGGCCCCUCAGAUUGGUCCAUGGUCCAGCAUCCUUCUUCACGGCCAUUCCGUCUGCUAUUACCCAAAAGCUAAACUGCUCUCUCUGCUCUAAAAAAGCAGCACCCUGACUUGUUUACCAGCUAAGUAAGUUCUCAUUUUCCCAUUACUUUAGGACAAACUAGAGACUUUGCAGGUCCAAGGCUUGGACCUGGCUCCCUUGAGACUCCAACAGGGUAAGGAUCACCUGUACCCGUACCCUUCCUUCCUCAUUUUCGGUUCUUAGCUCCCCUCCCAGUCCUUCCAGUAUCAGUAUAGUUCUAAUUGAAGAUCUGCCGGCCUGGUCACCUAGUUAUCAACCCCUCGGGGCUGGGGAACGGCCCAGCUGGUAGAGUGCUUGCUACUUAAGUAGGAACACAUAAAAAGCUGAGCAUGGUGGCACACUUACAAUCCUAGAGCUAAGGAGGCAGAGACAGAUGACUCUGGCCAGGGGCUCCCUGGCCAGCCAGGCUAGGCUAAUCAGUAAGCUCAAGUCCCCAGUGCAAGACCCUGUCUCAAAAAGUAGCUUUGGGAAAUGACACGUGUGCCUGGCCUCUGACCUACACACGUGUACACACACACAUAUACACAUAUGAACUGAGUAUCUAGUCUCCCCCAGCCUUGUCAGCCAUUUCCCCAGACUGUCAAUCCAAGGGGCCGACCAGUCUCUGAUGCUCACUUCUGUUUCACAGCUCCUGGAUGGUGACAUGUGGAUGACAUUCUAGAGUCAUCAAAAGGUCCCACCAAUACCACCCUCACUGCUCCAUCUGAGUCAGAGAAACCCUCUACACCCACCAGGGUCUCCUGUCCUGAUUUCUGUCUGGCAGGUCACCCUGAUAUCACAAGAUGGAAGAUGAUCCCAGAGAAAAGACAAGAUCUGAUAGGACAUCUGAGGUCUGAUUUGUCUUCAGUGAUUAUACCUCAUUUGUCUACCCCUCUUAGCUCCGUUCAGAUCCCUACCCCAGCACUCACUUGGUGUUUGGGGGACCAUGAGCCUCAGAGUUGAUGUGAAGAUAGCUCGCUGGCUUUUGCAGUAAUCAACACUGAAAGUGUUCAUUCCUUGCCUCCCCGCCAAGGUAAUAAUAAAACUCACAGCCUCAUUACUUGCUUGUUAGCUAA